rnacentral:rRNA from 1 species
UACGUAGGGGGGCUAGCGUUGUCCGGAAUCAUUGGGCGUAAAGAGCGUGUAGGCGGUCCGGUAAGUCCGCUGUGAAAGUCGGGGGCUCAACCCUCGGAUGCCGGUGGAUACUGUCGGGCUUGAGUACGGAAGAGGCGAGUGGAAUUCCUGGUGUAGCGGUGAAAUGCGCAGAUAUCAGGAAGAACACCAAUGGCGAAGGCAGCUCUCUGGGACGGUACUGACGCUGAGACGCGAAAGCGUGGGGAGCGAACAGG